rnacentral:rRNA from 1 species
GAGUUUGAUCGUGGCUCAGAACGAACGCUGGCGGCAGGCCUAACACAUGCAAGUCGAACGCCCUCUUUCGGGAGGGAGUGGCGCACGGGUGAGUAACGCGUGGGAAUCUGCCCUUUGGUUCGGAAUAACCCUGGGAAACUAGGGCUAACGCCGGAUAAGCCCGAGAGGGGAAAGUUUACGCCGAAGGAGGAGCCCGCGUCCGAUUAGCUAGUUGGUGAGGUAAGAGCUUACCAAGGCGACGAUCGGUAGCUGGUCUGAGAGGACGAUCAGCCACACUGGGACUGAGACACGGCCCAGACUCCUACGGGAGGCAGCAGUGGGGAAUAUUGGACAAUGGGCGCAAGCCUGAUCCAGCCAUGCCGCGUGAGUGAUGAAGGCC